AGAGACACACAGAGUGGGUCACGUGGACGGUGAGACGUGGUUGCUGGGCAACAUCAAUCAAACAGGCUACUUCAGAGUAAACUACGACCUUCACAACUGGAGACUUCUGAUUCAGCAGCUGAUGACCAACCCAACGAUCAUCUCCGUGGGCAACAGGGCUGGUCUGAUUGAUGACGUCUUCAACCUGGCGAGAGCGGGGUAUUUGCCCCAAAACAUCCCUCUGCAGAUGAUCUCAUAUUUGUCUCAGGAGAGCUUCUGUCCUUUACCAGCUGGACAAACUCCUGGACCGCACUGAAGACCACAGCCUGUUCAGCGACUAUGUUCUGAGACAGGUGGAACCGAAAUAUCACAAGUUGGGCUGGCCAGCCACUUCCCCUGACGGCUCCUUCAUGCAGGUGGCUUAUCAGACCCAAGAGUUGCAGAGAGAGGUGAUGAUGCUGGCCUGCAGUUUUGGAAACAAACACUGUCACCGGCAAGCUGUUUCUCUCAUUUCAGACUGGAUUUCCAGCAACAAGAACAGG